ACGCUCGACACCUACGGGAAGCAGCAGUGGGGAAUAUUGCACAAUGGGGGAAACCCUGAUGCAGCGACGCCGCGUGGAGGAAGAAGGUCUUCGGAUUGUAAACUCCUGUUGUUGGGGAAAAAGAGGAUGGUACCCAACAAGGAAGUGACGGCUAACUACGUGCCAGCACGCCGGUAGGUAAUCUGGAGGCGGGCGUGGACGAAGGC
rnacentral:rRNA from 1 species